UUGUCGAUCUUCUAAAUCUACUGCUGCUGAGCGACAAUACAAUAAGAAGAACAGAUUAGCACUAGUUAUUGACUCCACAACUGAUGAGGACACAGAAUACGAACCUCCAAAAAAACAAAAAAGGGGAUUUAUUAAGCCAGCUACACCUAUGCCGAAAAUAUGUGACGAAACUAAACCCAGCAACACUAACACACCCAAUUUAUCAAAUACAGUGCU